UUUCUUAAUAUUUAGAAAUAAUAUUUUUUUUAUUUUAAUAUUAUAUCUCAUACCAAAUCAUUAUUUCAAACUAAAAUUUUGAGGGUAUACUAAAAUACAAGUGCCAAAAAAAUUGAGGGAGUAAAAAAUUUUGAGGAAAUAUAAAAAAUUAUGAGAAAUACAGAAAAGUAUAAGAAACUACCAAAAAACUUGAAGAACCACAAAAAAAAAUGAAAGAGGAAGUACUAAAAAAUUAUUAGAGAAUACUAAAAUAUACGAGGAACUAAAAAAAAACAUGCGAAACUAUAAAAAAAUAUAAGAAAGUAUCAAAAAAUCGGAAGAAGUACAAAAA
rnacentral:lncRNA from 1 species